CCCGAGAUGCUGAUUUAGAAAACGGUUCCUCAGUGCCCGUGUGUAAUGACACACUACAUAGCGAAGCUGGAACUUUAAAAAUCAUUUGUGCGUAAGAGGAGGAAAGAUGGUAAGAGGGAACAGCUGACUUGGACUGAAGAGCUCCCCGCAGAGAAGCUAAGUAAUGAAUUCACAAGCACAGGACACUUCCAUUCUCAUGGCAGUUAAAUGAUUUGAUUGGUCAUGAUACAACUGCUAGUUGGGCUCUCAGAAGAAUAACUGAGUAAAAACACUUCCCCUUGUCGGACGGAAACAGAAGCUAAGGAACGCGCAGUUUCUGUGGGUGAAGACGCCGCGUGGCUCCAGAAUGAUGCGGGGGAGGGGCGUCCACCUGUCCCCAGCGCACUGCAGCGGGAAGGAGGGCCGCGAGGCGUGAGGUCGGGACACAGGUUCAUAGUGUGUGAGUUACAGAUGGAAUGUCCCAUUGGCAUGGUGUGUGGACACCGCUCUGCAG
rnacentral:lncRNA from 1 species